rnacentral:rRNA from 1 species
AUGGAGGGUCCCACUCCAGUAUCUGCUUUGAUUCAUGCAGCUACUAUGGUCACUGCUGGUGUUUUCAUGAUAGCAAGGAGCUAUGACGUCAUUCCUUGCGGCAACCACUGGAAUAUUACAGAACAAUCUAAAGAGGGUCAUAGCUUAUUCAACUUGCAGUCAAUUAGGCUAUAUGCUCUUUGCUUGCGGCAUCUCUAA